rnacentral:lncRNA from 1 species
AGAGGAUCAUCUUUAGACUAUUGUUUUGGGAAUUUUUAUUCUUUCUUUUGUGGAGUUGGGAUUGGGGAUAUCAGAACUUGGACGGCACCAAUUAAAAAUGUGCUACAUAUAUAAUUCUAAUCCCAUUAUACUAUUGUGAGUAUUACUUUAUAUAGUCAUUCAUCAAUCAAUUUUCACUAAUAACUGGAAGUAGAUGCUAGGAUCGACGAGGAUAAUGACUUAAUU